AGUGAACGCUGGCGGCAGGCCUAACACAUGCAAGUCGAGCGGCUGAAGGGAGCUUGCUCCUGGAUUCAGCGGCGGACGGGUGAGUAAUGCCUAGGAAUCUGCCUAUUAGUGGGUUAUAACGGGCUGAAACGGGGGCUCAUACCGCAUUCGUGCUUACGGCGUAAGGGUGGGAGCUUCGGACCUCACGCCCUCACAUGAGCCUAUGUGGGGUUGUCUGGUUGGCGGGGUAAAGGCCUACCAGGGCGACGAUCCGUAACUGGCCUGGGAGGAUGAUCAGUCAAACUGGAACUGAGACACGGUCAAGACUCCUAGGGGAGGAAGAGGUGGGGAAAUUUGGACAAUGGGGGAAAGCUUAAUCCAGCAUAGCGGGGGGUGUGAAGAAGGCUUUCGGUUUGUAAAGCCCUUUAAGGUGAGAGAAAAGGCAGUAGGUUAAAACCUUGCUGUCUGACCGUUACCAACAGAAAAAGCACCGGCUAACUUGGU
rnacentral:rRNA from 1 species